ensembl:lncRNA
GUGAGUCAGCAGAGCCCCCGGGGUACCCUAAACCCGGGGCUGCGCCUGGGGGCUGAGCCUGGGGGCCCCGUGGGGAAACUCUCCUGCUCGAGCAGGCGCAACUCAGUUCCUCCCUGACCCUGACCAACCUCCAUCCGCUCGCCCUCGUGACGCCAGAGUUGGCCACUCCGAAUGCACUCGCGUGUGGCCCUGCCUGGUCUGCUGCGACUUCCUCCCCAGCUGGGGACGCACUUGACAGAUUCCUGGGUGUUGCGUGUUUAGCCAUCUCUGUAACCCCAGGGCUGGAAUCUCCUUAGCUGUCAUUGUCUGCACAAAGCUCUAGGAGAAGCGGGAAGCGACCUGGAUGUUUCUCAGCCAGCAUCCACUUGCGGCCGUCAUCACCCUGGGGACCCCGAGCGUCCCCCGAUUGGACACCUUCUCUUCUGAACAGAUUAGAGCCGCUCUCUCCUUGUACUUUUACUGUGAUCUCCCCGAUUCCUGUCUUCCAUUCCCCAGGGGUUAUGGGCCAUGUUUCCUAAAUCAGUGACCAUCUAUGGGGAGCUUUUGUUCUUCCGACACCCUGGGCCCUUCUGAAUGAAUUCUCCAGGUCACGUGUGCCCGAGUCUUCCGGACCGGGGAGGAGGAGGCUGCGGCCAAGCUGACGCAUAGUUUUAGCCAAGUAAUCGCCACAGUGAGAGGCCGGGUAAGGGCAGCUCCCGCAGGGCCCCGAGCGAGACUGAGGAGCAUGGUGCGGUGCCAGGGUCUAGGUUUUAUUUCCUCUAACAAAGCUUUGUAAUGAGAAGGACUCAUCUUGGUUUGUUGUCCCUUACGUGCUUUCAUCAGCAUAGAAAUGCAGUGGACACGGCACAGACCUCCCAGUUAAGCCCUGCCUGGGCUACUUGUCAGCACAGGGCCCAGCCAGCUUACCCUGUGUCCACGGAUGCUAGCUACUCUCCCGAUAGGGACCGUGCCACGACUCCCUGCUGUGCUCCACGCAGACGGAGUUGACCCCCUCCGGAGAGGUUUCUGACAAUUCAGAGGCCACUCAAACAGGUGCAGGAAGCCAAGUACACGUCUGUAAACCCAGCACUUGGGAGGCUGAGGCAGGAGGAUCCCGUGAGUUCAAGGCCAGCCUGAACUACUGUGUCUCCAACAAAGCAAAAACAGAAAGAGAAGCAGUUCCAAGAGAGAUGGCACUAUCUCUGCUCCUCCACCCCACCCCACAUGCUCUUCCUGAACCUCGGAGCAGAAGUUCACAGCACCACCUUCCCCCAGAUUAAUUUGCCAAGCCAGAAAUGCAAAGGACACGCCUCCUCCCCCAUCCCGACCGCCGUCUCCACCGUCUCUACCGUUCAGUCUGCAGACUGCACUGAGCAGGCGCCGGGAAUGAGCCGUGUGAGGAAAACGGGCUGAGUGUGGCUCGAGACAAAGGGUUUCAGUGAGACAGGCUGUGUGACAGAAGCCUCGGAGAGUGUAGGGAAACGAAUGAAGGACACAGAAGGAGAAGCCCUGGGGAAGGGACAUCGGUUAGAAUUCUUCUGGGGUCAAAGGGGAGGACAGGUGAUGGAAAGAAAGGGAAGAUUCUCUGAAAAAUAAUUUGGAAAAAUUCCUUUAAGUCCAGCAGCAGGAUCCUGGUUAAAUAAAUUAUGUCACUCUACAGAAGAGUGUGAAGCUAUUUAAAAUGAUGCCGCAGAAGGACAGUUAGCGACAUGCACAGAUUCAGGGCAGAACACAACACACUGGCAUUUCUUGCUCAAGGAGAAUAUGAGCCUUUAAUUAGAGCUUGCUUUUCCUGGCAAAGACAGUAUGUAUUAAAAACCUUUUACCCCAAACACACGUUUAAGGAGACAAAGAACUACCUGCUUCCAGGCCAGGGAUUUUAGCUCAGUGGCGCCACCUGCUUUGCAAGCGCAAAGUUCCUGAGUUCGAUCCCCAGUCCCCCCUCAAAAAAAGAACUGCGUGCUUCCUCACAGGAACACAUCCUGGACAACCACAAAGUCAAUCAUUCAGAGAUGUCAAAACUGGGCGUGGUGGCCCCCACCUGUGAUCCCAUCACUGGGGAGGCUGAGGCAGG